GACGAACCGUGCGAACGUUAUUCGGAAUCACUGGGCUUAAAGCGCGUGUAGGCGGCCCGGCACGUCCGUCGCUGAAAUCCCCCGGCUCAACCGGGGAAGGGGCGGGGAUACGGCCGGGCUGGAGGGGGGUAGGGGGCGCCGGAACUCACGGUGGAGCGGUGAAAUGCGUUGAGAUCGUGAGGAACGCCCGUGGCGAAAGCGGGCGCCUGGACCCCACCUGACGCUGAGACGCGAAAGCCAGGGGAGCGAACGGG
rnacentral:rRNA from 1 species